rnacentral:rRNA from 1 species
AACGAACGCUGGCGGCAUGCCUAACACAUGCAAGUCGAACGAGACCUUCGGGUCUAGUGGCGCACGGGUGCGUAACGCGUGGGAACCUGCCCUUAGGUUCGGAAUAACUCCCCGAAAGGGGUGCUAAUACCGGAUAAUGUCUUCGGACCAAAGAUUUAUCGCCUUUGGAUGGGCCCGCGUUGGAUUAGCUAGUUGGUAGGGUAAAAGCCUACCAAGGCGACGAUCCAUAGCUGGUCUGAGAGGAUGAUCAGCCACACUGGGACUGAGACACGGCCCAGACCCCUCCGGGAGGCAGCAGGGGGGAAGAUGGGAAAUGGGGCGAAAGCCUGACCCAGCAAUGCCCCGGGAUUGAAAAAGGCCUUAGGGUUUUAAAGCUCUUUUCCCCGGGAUGAUAAUGAAAGGCCCGGGAGAAUAAGCCGCGGCUAACUCCGU